AGGGGACUAGGAGAAAUCGAAUUAUGAAGUACUUCGGUGAACAUUUGUGCAAUUCUAGAAGAAAACUGUAUGUAAAGUUUAUAUUGCCCAAUAUGGGUAAACUUGUUAAACUCAAUACAAUUCCUAAACAAUAUCGUGUGUUGCUGAACCAAGAACAAUUGACAACUUCGUAGAGUGGAGGCUGUCUUCUGAAUGCAAGUCUGGAAAAAACAAACAAAAAUCUCUUGCAUCUGCCACUUAACUCUCCGAACGAAUCUAAAAGACGAACUUUCAACGAUUGGCAAAUACAAACUGGCUCAUUCUUUAUUGAGAAACGUCAUUGCAUUGGGUAUGGUUCUU